rnacentral:rRNA from 1 species
GCGGAGGCUACACAUGCAGUGAGCGCGCUUCGGGUGAGCGGCGGACGGGUUAGUAACGCGUGGGAACGUGCCCUUCUCUACGGAAUAGCCUCUGGAAACGGAGAGUAAUACCGUAUACGCCCUUUGGGGGAAAGAUUUAUCGGAGAAGGAUCGGCCCGCGUUAGAUUAGGUAGUUGGUGGGGUAACGGCCUACCAAGCCUACGAUCUAUAGCUGGUUUUAGAGGAUGAUCAGCAACACUGGGACUGAGGCACGGCCCAGACUCCUACGGGAGGCAGCAGUGGGGAAUCUUAGACAAUGGGGGCAACCCUGAUCUAGCCAUGCCGCGUGAGUGAUGAAGGCCUUAGGGUCGUAAAGCUCUUUCGCCUGUGAUGAUAAUGACAGUAGCAGGUAAAGAAACCCCGGCUAACUCCGUGCCAGCAGCCGCGGUAAUACGGAGGGGGUUAGCGUUGUUCGGAAUUACUGGGCGUAAAGCGCGCGUAGGCGGAUUAGAAAG